rnacentral:lncRNA from 1 species
AAAUUAAGCUAAUCUCUCUUUGUAAAUUACUCUUUGCCCCCACAUAAGUAGAAUCAACUACAUUUUUAGGAGGAGCGACUUAUGGCUUUGGCUAUAUGUGCGCAUCUUCUUUCAGCUCCCAUUCUCCUUGAAUUUGCAAUUCAAUCUGUUGAGCUCCCUGGUUUGUACAUCGAAUGUUUUUGUAACAAUCGUUCUGGACCCAUCUGCAACUGGCGCACAACUACUGCAAGAUUUAGACCAAAUCGGUCCGACGGACAUCGCGGACACGGAACUCACCGACAGCAGGUCAGACGGACCGGUCGAGCCCGACCCGCACGCGUUGUUCCACCCAAACGACCGACUACUUUUAUAACUAAUUCAAGGACUGGGCAUCAAGGACUGGGCAUCAAGGACUGUUUAUAAUUUUGCUUUAAAUAAUGAUAUGAACCCAUAGGAAUGGGCAUCCAAUUUCAACAACAACAAUAGUUCUCCCACCCCCGGCUCCCUAGCGGCUACUAUUUCUCCUCCGGUCCUGAUUCUGGGAAGUUAUCUCUCCAACGUUUCCGAACACGCCCAUACUCCGAUGGCGUACGUUACAGUUUUCUUCGCUUGCGCAAUUCCUCCUAAUUAGGGGUGAGAUUCCCCGUUCUCGUACCCGGUACCCGCCCCGUACUUGUGAAGACCGGAGGUGAGGAUAGAAAGUCUCCCGAAGGACCCGGAGGUCGUAAGAGAGAAGUUCUCCCGAGGGAGCCGGAUAUGAGGAAUUAGAAUUGUUUUGAUUCUGGAUGCCGAUCAUCCGGUAGUUCUCAUUAUUUAAAGUCAAACGCAUUAAUCCUGCUACAACAGAUUAACUAAUAAAGCUGAGAAAUAUUCCCUCUUCCAGACUAAUAAUAGACGUAGUGGGGAACACGCACAUUCUUUCAGUUUUAGAUGGGUCGUGGGGACUGGCGCGCUCUCGGAGUGGGUGGCUCCCCUGUUGGCAUCGCUGCUGGGACUUUCUCCUCUAAAUCGAUAAUUUCCGGUUCGUUUCUUAGCCGGCUCACAACUUUCGCAAUAUCCAGACCCAAUGUUACACGUACCCGGUAGGGAGGAUUUUCCUACCCGAAGUAAGAAAAUCUCCGUCUUCGGCCGAAAUCCUCGGGUACGGGGAUGGAGAUUGAAAUCUCCGCCCUGGAUAAUCCUCGUACUUGAGGAAAAUUGCAUAAACACCCUAUAAAAAAAAUUUAUUGUAUAAUUUGUAUAAUAACCUAAUAUUCUAAUUUAUAUUAAAAUCAUGAACUUUAAAAAUAAAAACCCAAUUGCAAAUCUCGAACGAAUAACCUAAUUUCUAUCUCCAGCUCCAAGG